ACCAAAAAUUGGGCAGAGCGGCACCGGAAGUUGCUUCUACGCAUGUCUGGACAUGCAUAGAAGCGAUUUCCGGUGCUGCGCCACUGCUGAUCCCGCAUUUUUCAGCGGGAGACUUGGCAUCUAUGGUGUAACUUUGUACCAAGUUUCCUCUUUCCCUCCCCUUCCCCUGUUGGUUGUCAUGGAAAUGUGCCAGUCUGUGUUUUUCUCAGAUGAAUUCAAUAGAAAGGGUGGCUAAGCGGGGAUGUGGGUCUUGUUUCAGCUGCAGCAUUUAUGCUCAAUCAGAACAGAGGUCUCAGUGCCGCUACAACACCAGGGUGUCUGUGAAGGAAGAAUAGUUACCAGUUUGGGGUUUCUUUUGUUACAUGCACCAAGGUCUUCAGGAUGAGGCCAAAAAACAUACUACAGUAUCUCCAUUUCACUUGUUGCGGCUGGAAAAUUGUUGUGUGUGUGUGUGUUUACCAUCCUGAUAAUGAGCACACGAAGAGGUUGAAGGAUGCUACAGGAUCCAUAUUAUAGCAAUCCUGAGUAUGCAACGCAGAAUGUUUGAAACAAUCUAUAUCCAGGCUGAAUUGAACAGACUUGUGGGUGGGGGCAGACCUUAAGAGACCUGUCUGAGCCUGUGGCAAAUGAGGCCAUUAGAAGUGAUGCUCUGGGAGGUUCUUGUUGAUGAAGCUGCUUUUAAGACUUCCACCUAGGUCUGUUUUGAAUGCUGCUAAGCCCUAGCAUUAAACACAUCUGUGCUGGCUUUGCUGUUGAUCUGAGUUUUUACUUGUUUCUUUUGCCUUGAGUGCACUGUUAGGAAAUUUCACUGGAAGCCGAACUCUUUGGUGUGGGAGGUUGUAGCAAGGAAGGAGAUGUGCUCUGAGAACUCCAGUUUAUUUUAUUAUUUUUGCCUGUCCAAUGUGUUUGGAAACUGCUCUGGGUAGUUCGGUUGCAUGCAGAGAAGACGCAUUUCCUCAUAGUGGAUGGCUGGGGUGGAAGAAUUUAGAAUUGGUCAUUGAGGAAUUCCUCAAAUAAAUGUUUGGGGAAAGGUUAGAAGCCAGACAGUGACCGGAGGAAGAAUAUUAAACAUUUGCUUAUCUGUUGGCAGUUUUCUCCGCUGCAAAAAGGAGAGCUGGAGACAUGGCCAGUGUAACUGGAAAUCUCCACUGUGCGGACAAAACAUUCCCCCAAAUAGAAGAGAGUGGUUCAACGUACACAUCAUGAGCCCCACAGAGAAAAGUGAUGGUGACAGACGUGGUUUUUGUCAUUGGCCUAGGGCUAUGCCCACUUCAUUAUCACCUGCAGGUGUGCCAUGGCCACUUGAUCAAUAUGCCUUUAUUGUCCCUUGUUUUGUUAUCACUAUAGUGCUGCUUGCAAAUCUAUAUCUCAAAUGUGCACACCUACUAAUAUUACUCUUAUAGAACUCAUCAAGGAAGAGGAUGGAGACAAAACUAGAAUUAGCAUUUUUAUUAUUGGUUUGGUGUUUUGGACUAUAUGCCUCCUCCAGUUUCUUUGAAAGAUAGGCAGGGCAUAAAUUUGUGAAACAAAAAUAAGUGUGUUAUUAAGUUGUAUUACAUUGAGUGUCACACUUUUUUUUGUCUCUCUUAAUGUUUUGGGCCUCCUUUGUAGGAAAGGCCUAUGAACAACAAUACUCACAGUCCUCCUGAAUGUUGUUUCAUAUGACUACAUGUGAUUCUCAGGAAAUGAGGGCUGUGGCUUACAUUUUAAUGUAAUAGUUCCUUUUCUGAUCUAAUAAUUCAUUUUCUAAUGUUUGUAUAUAACUAUGCUGGUGGCCUGCUCUUACUUCCAUAUGUGUGUGUUUCUGUGUGCAUAUUUUUUGUAAGAAAUGGAAAAUACCUCACGUCUGUUGGCCUUUGAUAGCACAGUUACUCCUUGGUGUUUGUAGCAUGAGAUGGAGAAGCGAACCCCACUUUUCCCUGUCCAAACAAACUGCCGUGGUAAAUAGUAAUGUAGUCAAUAAUAGCCAUUUGACUUCUCUUGAACAACACUGUGCAAAACUUGACUGUUCUAUAAGUUGUAAUUUCAGUUGGUCAGCAUUUUUAGGUCACAUCCAGACUGUCAUCAUUUUGUGGGACGUAUUCUGGCUCAUACCAGAAAUGUAGGUUUGUGCAGUUAAAGUGCUUUAAAGCACUCAAAUCAACUAAAAAUGACAACACCUGGGCUUUUGCAGUUAAGAAAGUGAUGGGGAAAUGCACUCAAAAGUGUGGGAUGAAUGAAUGAUUAGUGGGAAGGUGUAUAAACAUCCCACAACCAAAUCCGGAUGGAUGUUCAUUGCCAUAUAACUUUUCCCCAAACAAAUCAGAAUAAAUGCUUAGUUAAGACAGGACUGAUGCUCAAGAAAUGGGUCAUCUGGGGGAGUCCCAGUCAUUAUUUGGGAAGUGUAGAGAGGAGAAGUAAAAUGUUGCUAAACUGUGUUGGAGCCUUGAGUGUAGUGCUCUGUGAGAAAAAUAGCGCUUGGCUUUAAAGGCCGAAAUUAAUUGGAAAGGGAACAGGUUCAGUGUAAGAUCAUCUACAUAGCUCCCUCUACAGAGUAGUUGUCAUGCCAUUGUUCUUGGUUUAUAAAUUGAGUGUGUUUUCACAAGAGUCUUCUGGUUGGUCAUCUGAGGGGUGUGUGUGUGUGUGUGUGUGUGUGUGUGUGUGUGUGUGUGUGUUGGGGAGGGGAGGGAAGGGGUAGAGUUAAAAAAGGUUAGUGCGAAAUGCAGCCUGGGCAUUCCAGCUGUUUGAAAUAAAAGCAAGAAACAUCCUCACUUGAAGCAAGAGUAUUCUGAAGAACUCUCUGAUUCUGACUUUUCCAAAUGCUAUCCAGAUGUCUCCUCUUGCUAGAUCUUCCUUUGGCCAAAGUGUAAUUUGGUUUUGAACUCUGUCCAGUUGGUAUUGCAAGUCCUGAAAUAAAGUAAAUCAGCAAGUUGUUCUUGGACGCCUUCCCCUAAUCCAGAGCAACCCAAAUCAAACUUUUGGUCUAACCUCAGGCCUGCAUGUUCAAAUAGUUUCCUUUGCCUCAAAAGCAGCAAAUGGCCGGAGAUAGCCACUUUGUGGUAUUUAAACAGACGGCUUGUGCAAUAGCCAAUGCAGCUCAAGCAAUUGCAUCCCUUGGGGCAGCAGUUCACAGCAGGCAAAACAUUCCUGGGGAAGAGGGGAUGGCGUCCAUAUGAAACUCAGGAUUCCCCAUCAUUGUUUGCUGUCGCCAGCUGCCUACUGACCUAACAAGCACAGCCGUGGAGAGUAUUGUUGCAUUUGUCUUGACUCCUGAACCUGGAUAAGAGUGGAGAUUCUGCCUGACAGUGUGCUGCUCACCCUAAACCUUUAGCACAGUAAUAUGGCAAUAAAAUAGUGGAGGCUUGUCCAUUAGGGCGAUUGGGGCACUGUCCAGGCAACUACCUGUCCUUAGCCAAUCUCCACCUGCCUGCCUUCUAACUUAUAACCAAUCCGGGGGACUGCAGUGGCAGUCAGGCUCCACCCCCUUAGUCUCAUUCUUGGCAUUUGUAGAACUCAAAAGGGAUGAGGAUUGGGGGAAACUAGAAUUAGUUUUGCCUGUCACUGCGUCUGAUUUCGCCUGUCAUUGGCUCUGGCUCCACCUACUGUUGGCCUCCUUGCCUUCCACCCUACCAGUCACAGAGGACACCAGCCACCACUGACAGUGGAGACCUACCUCUCCCUUUACCCUCAGUGUUGAAGGAGUAAAUCAUGGCAAGACCUGUUGGUGGUGCCACACACUCCUGAGGUAAAAGACUUGGGCCUGUGCUUUAAGCAUUGUGGGGCCAGUUCUCUGGAAUUCUCUCCACUUAGAAGUGAAGCAAGUCCCUACAUUCAUCAUGUUUUUCCAUGCUGGCUGAAAACUUUUCAUUUCUCCCAAACUUUUCCAACACAUUUUAUCUUCACAGUUUUUACUUUUUAAAAAUGUCUUAACAGUAUCAAUGGUUGGCAUGUUCUGCAUUAUGUUUUGUUUCCAUACUCCCAUUUUUUCCAGCUCUAGGUUUUAUGCUUUAGUUUUACUGUAUUCUGUAUAUUUGUAUUUUGUUGUUGUUGUUUUUUAUUGGAGAUUGUAAGCUGCUUUGUGGAAGAGGGUUCUCAAAAAGCAGUGUAUAUUUUUUGAAAAGAAAAAUAAUAAAGAAAGGAAAGCACGCGUUUGGGCUGGCUACCAUACGUUGCCACUUCUGCAGCACUUCUGACAUACCCACGCUGUUGACUUAGCGGGGAGUAAACAGCGCUGGCAGCAUGAACAAUGUAGAAGUGAUUGAAGCACUUUAUUGCAGGAAACUCCUCUUGUACCCAUGGAUACAAGUCUUGCCACUGCUUUGCCAGAACCAGGAAUCAGUGAAGCAACCGCCUGUUCUUGCCAAGUGUGCCAUUUUGGAUUUCAUUCUAUGUGUGUGAGAUCCAGCAAAGUCCAGAUACUCCUGUGCCAACAUUAUGCAAAAAAAAAAGGGGUGGGUGGGGAAGGAUCAUGUUCUGUGCAGCUCAUGUGUCAUUAUGAUUUUUUUCUUGUAAAUGUCAAGGUAAACAGCAUUCAGAUUUUCAUCCCAUCUCUGCAUUGCAUGGUGUGUGUGUGUGUGGCAGAGCGGUUCAGGCUAUGAUAAUCACCUACCCUCCCUAGGAAGUGUAAAUGGGUUAUACAGUGGUGCCUCGCUAGACGAAUUUAAUUCGUUCCACGGGUCUUUUCUUAUAACGAAAAAUUCGUCUAGCGAAUGCCAUAGGAAUGCAUUGAAUUUUUUUUUGCCCAUAGGAACACAUUAAUUGAAUUUCAAUGCAUUCCUAUGGGAAACCACGAUUCGCUAGAUGAAUUUUUCAUAAAAUGAAUUCGUCUAGCGAGGCAACCUCCAUUAAAAAAAACCUUUCGUUAAGCGGAAAUUUCGUUAAGCAGGGAAUUCGUUAAGCGAGGCACCACUGCAUCCAAUAAUAGGGUAGACCCAUUGAAAUUAAUGGGCAUGAUUAACGUUAGUGGGUUUACUCUGAGUAAAACUUGUUCUUCCCUAAAGCCGUAUGUUCUAUGCAUGAGGAAAUGGUCUCUUGUUCCUCCCAGUUACAGAUAUGCUUGGUCUUAGCUGGGAAUGGAAUCUUUCCACGCAAGCAUACUGGCUAGCAGGGUGUGUGACAACAGCCCAGCGACAGCUAUGGAACCCAUUAUGCAGUAACAAGGAUGUUGAUAAACUGAAUCAUUUACACAAAAAACUCCCAACAACCCAUAAAAUGCUUGGGAAACAGAUGAUGUGAGAGCCCAAGGCCCUUCCUGUAAUUCUUUCAUCACUUUUCCGGUUUGCAUGCAUCUGUUCUUUCCUGUGAUGCCUUUCCCCUUGCCCCAGAAUUUCUGCAGAACCCACGUGCAAAUCUGUUCUCUGGAUGCUGUUAACAUAUAAGCAUAGGAGUCUGUUGGCGCAGGUCAAGGGGAUCAGUUUUAACUGGUGGUGCUGAGAAUGAAGGGCACAGUUUUAAUUUUUGACAGUAUUUUAUUCUGGCAUACUACUGUGUUAGAGAGUGCAAAGAAGGGGAGAACAUUUAAAAAGGACCUUUCUUUCUCAUAAUGUGGCAGCUUUUGUUUGUAAAUUUUGCGCUUCCUUCAGUAUAUCAGAAAGGCACCCAUGUUGAGGUUUUAAAGACCAACAGUUUUAUGAUGUUGCCCAGCAAAGCUUAUGGUAUAAUAAGUUUGUUAGUCUUGUAAAGUGCCACAAGAUUCUUUGUUGUUUAAUUUGAAUAAUUGUUGGCCUUUUAACUGAUUGAUCAACUGAGUAAAAGAAUUCUUCCAUAGGUUGAGGGUUGUAAUUUCAAUGUUUCUGUCAGGUUACAGAUUACAAUAUUUUGGAGAGUUCCUGCUGGUUUUUUUUUUUUUUAGGCUUUGGCUUUGGCCAACCAUAGGAAGCUCAAUAUACCUUUGCAUAUUAGUAGUGUGAUAAACAUAUUUUGAGGUUUGGGUUUAAUUUCUCCGUUUUGCAGCCAAGCCUCUAGGAAGCUUCACUGGCAGUAGGAUUUUUAUUUGAAAAUGUGAAUGUGGGAAAACGGAUAGCAUGUCCGCUUAAUGCCAAACACACAACAGGUUCCUCUUUCAGGUCCCUUAAGUAGUAGGAGGAAUGUGUUUCUUCUGCACCCCGUCAUGGCCAUGAUAGUAAACUGUAGCAACAAAUACUUUAGGGCUUGAUCUAAGCCAUGACGUACUAAGGACUAAAUCAUGGAACCUGUUGUGGAUUAUUAUGCAUGUGAAAACACAGGUGGUGUUUCACAGGCCUGUCAUUCUGGAUCUUGAGUUCAUUGAAAUGCACAGAAGACUUUUGCAGCAGCAAAAUACAAUAUCUAGAUAAUGGAAAGUUAUAAUAAUAGUUCUCUAUUCAGCCUUGGCCAGACCCCCACCUGGAUGGAGUCUUGCAUCCCGUUCUGAGCACCACAGUAAGGAAGGAUAUUGACUAGCUGGAACAUGUGCAGAGAAGGGCGACCAAGAUGAUAAAGGGCCUGGAAACCAAGCCUUAUGAGGAAUGGUUGAGGGAAUGGGAUAUAUUUCACCUGGAGAAGAGGAGACACCAGAGAAAUCCUUUGUGGGUGCCAUGGUACAUAUGGGUGCCAGGUUGGUGACCCCAGUUCUGAUCAUCUAGGAGGUAGGGGAACCUCAGACCUGGGGGUCUGAAUGUGACCCUCGAGAUCUCUCAAUCAAGCCCUAAGGACUCCCUGGGCCACAGCCCCUCACCAGCUCUGUGCCUUUCUCAAGUACUUGCCUGCUUGCAAUGUGCCCUUGUGCUGCAAUACUGCCUCUUAUUUGUCUGGAUAGAGGUGUGUGUGUGUGGAAUGUAGCCUGCUGUACAGAGGUUAGAGCAACAGCCUGACCUCAUCUGCCACUGGCAUGUGGCCCUUGGAAGGCUACCCAUGGAGGAAUGUGGCCCCUGGACUGAAAAUAGGCUGCUCACACCUGAUCUAUAUCUGGUAUGCAACUGAGCAGGAACAUUUUUCAUGAGUCCGCAUGAAGGAUGAGGUUGAGGAAUGUGGGUGGUUCAAGGAAAGCCCAGCCUGGGUUCCUUAGCCAUAGUCCCAGACUGUUCCUUUUGAGGUGUGUUGCGAAACACAAGGAGUGGCAAUGCAUUUCAGAGUUCCAUCAUCUUUUACAUUGUUUUGUUCAUUGAAAAUGAUUUUUUUUGCAAGAGGCAAGGCAUCGCUGAAACUGAUGUUCUGUUUUAUGAGGUGCAUAGUUCGAAGUUCUGGCAUAUGUCUAUAAAUGACGAUUACUUAGAGGUUCUUCAGCUUGCUCUCAUUAACAGAAAAAGUGUGUUUCUGAAGAAAUCCCGCAUUUCUUUGCUGCAGACAUUAAUAUAGAAUAGAGGCAGGAGGAAAAUAGGUCAGUAUCAAUGAAGAUUUAAUAUUGUUUUACCUCUUUGACGUGCAAGAAUAUGGCAUUAUCAACUUUAGCCUCAUUAUUUGAUCUGUAACUUUUAUUGCCUGUUGCAGGAAGUCUAAAACACUGCUGCAAAUGUGAGUGAUUCAUAACAUCCACCGUCUCCCCGUGCAAUUGCUGUGGGUGCCCGUCCUGCAUUAAAUCCCCCUGUGUGCUCCAUUUUAAUCAACUGCCUCCUCUUGUUUAUGUGUGUCUGCCACACAGCAUUAUGGGAGCAACAAAGAUCUGAGAAAGAGAAGAAGGGCAGGCCCCAGCCGAGCCUUCUCCUGUGCCUUCCAUUUUAUAUACCAUUGUUUUAAGGGAUUAUCACCUGUUCUAGGUCAUAGCCCUUAUGAUUCUCAUGCAAGUGGCUUUUUAAAUAGGAACUUUUGAGCUCUGCCAAAAUCCCUGGAACAUCAUUUGGUCCCUACAUUUUUUUUUGCUCUGAAUUAUUCACCUAGCCUUUUAUAUGUUUCCCAAAUUGAAAUCCUGCUAUUUAUUACUUUCUCAUAUAUGUCUGCAAAAGGGGGUGGCUUUUUCCCCCUUUAUUUUUUAACAUAUAUAAUUUUAGCUUGAUUGUUUUGAAUGUGAUACAUUUUAACAUUGCAUGACUGCAAAGCUAAAUAAACCCAUACAUUAUCUGGAAGUAUGCCUGUGACUUGGAAAUAAUGUUUGCAGCUCUGCAGUUCUGCUGCGUUACAAUUCCGGGGUCACCAACAUGACACCCAUGGUUGUCAGAGUUCUCAUCAAUACUUUACAUGGAACUCAUGAUAGGUCUCAGUAAGUAUCCCCUCAACAAACCACAAUUGCACCAAAUACUAUACAGUGGUCCCUCGACUUACGAAGUACUCAACUUACGAAAUUUCGAGUUACGAAUGAAAAAAAAAUGGCCACACGCUUACAUUUUUUUUGACAUCCGAAAGGAAAACCAUUGCGGUUUAGAUGCGGUUUACUUGACUUACGAAUUUUAGAUGCGGUUUACUUGACUUAUGAAUUUUAGAUGCGGUUUACUUGACUUACGAAUGUUUCUGUUUCCAAUGCAUUCCUAUGGGAAACCACUUUUUUCAACUUACAAAUUUUCCGACCUCCGAAUGUGCAUUCGGAACAGAUUAAAUUCGUAAGUCGAGGGACCACUGUAUGCUGUUCCUGCCCAGUUCUGUUUGCACUUGCUUGGUCUCUUGCAUUAAACAAACACAAAUAAUUAUGCCCCCCAUGUAACUGGGUGUCAGGAUUGGACAUGUACUUUUCAUUCUAUUUUGAACAGAAAUGAGAUGCAAAUAACCUCUCUCGGAGCACAGGAGGCACCUUUUACUUAAUGAUGGAUGGGGGCAUGGCUACACCAUUUUGUCCUGUCUUUUUUUCACGUGGCAGCCGUUUUGUGACUGGUGUUUACAACAGUUUCUCAAAAUUCCAAAUUGUAGAGUUGGAAGGGGCCCUGGGCCAGGACCCAGGGCCAACCCCCUGCAAUGGAGGAAUCUCAACUAAAGCAUACAUGACAGAUGGCCAUCCAACCUCUGCUGAGAAACCUCCAAGGAACAAUAGUGCACCACUUCCCAAGGGAGUCCAUUCCACUGUCAAAUAGCUUGGUGACCUUACCUGAUUUAGAUCUUACCUCACUGUAGGACAAAGUACCGUUGUUUGCUGCCUCUCGGCAAGGCUGCCUGCCAUUGUUGUCGGACACGCUUGGGCAGUGGACCCAUGUGAUGCCUGGCCUAGGUCUGCGAACUGUCACUUAAUAAUUUCCCACAAUGCCCCUGAUAUAGCAUUGCUGCAGGGCAUUGUGAGAAAUAUAUAAUGGUAGCUUGUAGAUGGACACUGAUGCCAAGUCAGCCCCAUGGUUAGGGGACCAGCAAAGAGCACUUUUUGUUAAGAGCAUCUCUCUAAUAUUGAGAUGGUUCUGGGCACCUGCAAAGUUUAGGUUCCAUGCCAUAAAGCUCCAUAACAUGGCGAAACUCGGUACCAGUUUGAAUGAGUCAAAAAACAUAUAAGUUCUAAACUCUGGAGCAUCAAACAAAGGUCAGUAGGACUGGAUGCAGUCAAAGCCAGGCAGGGGUUGAGAUUCAAAGCAGCAAUUGGCUGCCUUGACGGAUCCACUUCAGAAAACUGAACCACAUGGUCUUAAUGCUAUAAGCAGGGGCUUAUCAGCCUAACUUUUAAAAAACAGGCGUGUUCCCCUGUGCCAGCUACUAUAGUACUUCUGUUUCAACCCCCUCACCCCCACCCCAAAUCAAAACCAGUUGUUUAGUGGAAUUCCAUGGGGGAUGAUGAUAACUCUUCAGCUUAGUGGAUUUGGAGAAUGACACUGUUGUUUUGAGACUAAGGAAAGUCCUAACAGUGUGCGAGUUGAAGCAAUUCGACAACAAAAGAAGAAGGAAAAAAAGAGGAACCUAGAAGGAAUGACGCACAUACAGCAAUUAUCCUUCCCAAUUCCUGGUGUGUUCUGGCUCUUGGGUUAUUUGAAUGCUGUAAGAAGCUUUUCGUGUAGAGAAUGUCCCAUUUUUUCUAUUGCCUUUGUGGGUGGCACUGCCUUGCAAAGCCUUCUCAGCCAAGGUUGAGAAAUACGUUUGGGGAGAAGUCUUCCCACCACCUUGGACUCUGAGGGCAUGUGCUCGUGUUUGCUGAUGAAAUGGUCAAUUGUCACCUGCCGCAAACUCCCUCCACCAAGCAUGCUGUGCAGUACGGAAGGCGGGAGAUGCUUGCAUUUUGUUUAGAUUUUCUUUUUUUCUAGACUUUCUGUCCUUGAUUUGGUCAACAGGCCCUCUAGGCAGCUUUUGCUUAAGAAAAAUCAAUAUGUAUAAAUUGCAACCAGUAGGACAAAUUUGUUUAAAACGACUUUUUUUGGGUAAAACAAAUUACUGUACUCAAAAACAGUUCCUAAACAAAUUCAACAGCAUUUAAAAAUACACAGUUUUUUUAAAAAAUUUUAAAUUGAGAUAGACUUGGGUAAGUAUUUUUUGGGUUCUCAUCGGGCACUUUCUGCAUACUUUGAUUUUCUUCUUAUCUCCAGCAAGGCAAGAAGCUUGCUUUUUAAAAACCAAAAUGGCAGCUCCCAAACCUGAAAUUCUCAUGCUCUUCACUCUUCCCUGUACCACAUUGUGUGCUGAGGUGAAAUAGCAGCAGAGUUGAUGCCAUCUUGUGUGAGCCUAAAUUUGUUUAUUGGAAAUAGCAUCUCUUCCUGCUGUUUGCAGACAUGCACCCCACCCCACCCCCUGCCAUGGAUGUGCGAUUCUAGCUGUACUCGGAUCCAAAAUGUUAACCAGGAACAGUAUUUAAUUACCUAUUUAUUUUGCACACCAACAGUGGGAUGAGCAGUGACAAUUUGUACUGGUGGUGUGUAAAUCCUUUCAACAUUUAAUGUGGUGUAAUGCAGCCAAGGUAAAAAAGAAGACUGGCAGGUGGCCAUGCCUAGAAUCCAAGAGUUGGUUUGUGUAUUAAAGGCAUGGUUUGGGCAUUUGGGCAUCAUCUGGUGGUGUGGAUCAUGUGGUGGUGCCUGAUCAAAAAAAGCCUGAUACAUUUUUGAAUUAGGAGGCCUGGGUGCAUUUUUAAAAAGUAAUGUGCUUCUAGGCAAUCUAGAUUUCCUUUCUCUAUAAUUGAUGUAAAUUUGGCAAACUUUCCUGAUGUUUUGCAUAAUAUAUUCUGCAAUUUUUAUGGUUUCCCCCUCAAAUAAUUUUGUACUGCUAGUCAUGAGAGAAAGAGCAAGGAUAUGAUACUGAGACCUGAUCCUUAACCACUAGAAAUCUUACUUAGACUUCUGAGAUUUCAGGCUUCUGAGGUUUCAGUAGGUAUUGUCUGCACACUCUCAAGUAUAUCAUUUCACCCAUAUGGACUCAGAUAUUUUAAAAUAGUUGUUUUCAGCAGUAUCUCAGCUUUCAGUAAUUCCCCAGGCUCAGAAUGUGCUCAGAGGCACCCUGUUCUUUUAGGCAGAGGCCCUCCUGAAGCUCUUUCUUGAAUCAAGCUUCUUAUCUGUCUUUUGGGUUGUUCUCCUCUGCCCCCUCCCUGGCCAGAAACGAGAUGAGUUGGUUGGCGAGUCCUUCGCCAAGAAAUCUUGAGGAUUCUUGAGAGACGCCUGCUCUACCAGAUGGAUUCUUUGAUUAAUUGGAGGUGGUGGUAACUUGGAGGGGGGGGGGGGAAUUGAGUGACACCUUCCGACGUCAGAGCUGCAGUAGAGUUCAGAAUCUGAGUUGGAGGGUCAAGCAGAUACUUUCUCCAAGGCCGACUGAAAUGUGAUCACGUGUGUCUUGCUCAGGUUCAAAGCAGCGGGUCCCCUUCCUGUGUGUGUGUUGGUUUUUACUCUGCUGUGAUCCGAUACCUGCAGUAAAAGAAAACCCACCAGCCCUUAUCCCUGUUGCUAUGUUAGGGUCAGAUCUCAGGUUGAUUUGCUGCAGAUCCGGAAAAGGUUUCUGACAACCAGAUUGUUUUGACAACAGCAAUGCCAAAAUCGCUUCUUCCACCUAAACUAGGACUGCUGAAAUGAGGAAAGCUAACCAGGAGUGGAUGUUUGUGAAAUAAGGACUUCAUGAGCCAAUAUAUUGAUGAUGAUGAUGAUGAUGAUGAUGAUGAUGAUGAUUGAUUAUUAUUAUUAUAUUUAUUUUAAAUAAAACAUUUAUUCAAAAGUUAUAAUACAGUUACAAUACAUUUCCAAUCAAUAUAUCCCCUUGUAAAAUAUUUGUAUACUGCUAACCUUAACAGGUUAGAGAACUGGGUCAAAGCAAACAAGAUCAGUUUUAACAGGGAGAAAUGUAAAGUAGUACACUUGGGGGCAAAAAAAGAAAUGAAAGGCACAAAUACAGGAUGGGAGACACCUGGCUUGAGAGCAGUACAUGUGAAAAGGAUCUAGGAGUCCCGGUAGACCACAAACUUGACAUGAGUCAACAGUGUGAUGUAGCAGCUAAAAAAGCCAAUGCAAUUCUGGACUGCAUCAAUAGGAGUAUCGCAUCUAGAUCAAGGGAAGUAAUAGUACCACUGUAUUCUGCUCUGGUCAGACCUCACCUGGAGUACUGUGUCACAGUUUAAGAAGGAUACUGACAAGCUGGAACGUGUCCAGAAGAGGGCCACCAAAAUGGUCAAAGGCCUGGAAAUGAUGCCUUAUGAGGAACGGCUUAGGGAGCUGGGCAUGUUUAGCCUGGAGAAGAGAAGGUUAAGGGGUGAUAUGAUAGCCAUGUUCAAAUAUAUAAAAGGAUGUCAUAUAGAGGAGGGAGAAAGGUUGUUUUCUGCUGCUCCAGAGAAGCGGGCACGGAGCAAGGGAUUCAAACUACAAGAAAGAAGAUUCCACCUAAACAUUAGGAAGAACUUCCUGACAGUAAGAGCUGUUCGACAGUCGAAUUUGCUGCCAAGGAGUGAGGUGGAGUCUCCUUCUUUGGAGGUCUUUAAGCAGAGGCUUGACAGCCAUCUGUCAGGAAUGCUUUGAUGGUGUUUCCUGCUUGGCAGGGGGUUGGACUGGAUGGCCCUUGUGGUCUCUUCCAACUCUAUGAUUCUAUGAUUCUAUAUCAUUAAAAGUUUAUAAAAGUUCAGUUCUGGUACUGAAAGCAAAUUCCUGGUCUCAGCAUAUUCUCAGAGAAACCCUAUACUGUACUUUCAUUCUGUGUGUCACUUGCCCCCAGCUCUGGUUGGUAGGUCUUUGUGUUCUAGUAGAUCCAAGGAACUGAAGUCUGUCCUCCACUGCUGUUAGCCAGCUCCUUUAGGUUCUUCUUGUUCUUGUUUUUUUUUUUCUUUUGGGAGGUAUCCUGUGGCACUGGAACAUGGGAAGUUGCCUUAUACUGAGUCAGACUAUUGGUACGUGGCUCGGUAUUGUAGCUCGGUAUUGUCUACACUGACUGACAGGGGCACUCUUGUGGGAGAAACCAGCCCAAAUUUAUAAAUAGUGAACCCCAAGGGAGAGAGUGAGGAUUGAGAAAAAACGUCAAUAAUUUUAGAAUCAUUGAGGAGGAAGCUUGGGUGCCUUUUCUUUGGUGCCCUUUUACAACUGAGUUUUCCUUCCAUUAGGCUGUGCUGCAUGUUUUAAAACCAGUUGAUCAAAAUGCACACCAGUUCUGUUUUGUUUGCCACUUGCAUCUGAUGUGCACAUUCUCUGUCGCUGUCUGCAAAGAUGGGUGCUUAUGCUGCCCGUGGCUAAUGUUUUCAUGGGGCUUGGUGGCGGCAUGAAUUUCUUGCACACACAAACCCCACCUUGCAUCUUAUUUCAGUCUUGGGGACGCUUUAUUCGUCCUCCGGCAGCCAACACCCAUUUGCUAUUGUGUGUACAGUACAUGCAACAGGGAGGUGUUUCAAGCAGUUUUGACAUCCUGGCACAUGUACUUGCAGGGUACAUGUCUCUAUGAGAUCACGUCGCAGUGUGCACACAUUACAGUUUUAUGGAGAGCAAUAUAAUCUGUUUUAUGUGUAACCAUUAAAAAAGGUAAUAUUUGAAAUAGGCCUGCUAUACCAUUUGAAUGAACAGGAACAUAGGAAGCUACUUUGUCUGAUCCAUUUAGCUCAGUGCUGUCUACAUCUGGGGCAGACCUGUAGGGUUGUGCAUAUGUAUUCACUACCCUUGCUAAUCAUUCGUUCACCCCCACACUUUUAAGAUGCAUUUCCCUGUCACUUUCCUAACCGCAGAAAUCUGGAACACUGCAUAAAGAAAUGUUCUGUGCCCUUAGUAAUUUGGCUUUUCACAUCCUUCAUUGCUGGAUAAUAGACAGUUGUUCAGUUUCAGCAGAACUUAAUUAAGUGAUACAUGCAAGUAAGUGUGUGUGUGUGUGUUUGUGUGCACGUGCGCGCAGACACACAAACACACACCAUGAUCCCAGGGAGAAGCAGAAGCUUGAGGUGGCCUAGUUAGAACGCUGUGCAAAAUCCACUUUGUUGGUUUUCAGUUUUUAUUACAAGGAAUUGUUCCUGGAAGGAUCUUUUCCAUUUUUUUGAUAGUGCAAAAGCAAAAAGGAAAUUUUGGGUUGUAUCCAUUGUUAGUCAUACUUGGAAGUAGCAGUACAGACUCAUUGAAACUAAUGGGCAUGACUAUCUUAGGUCCAUUAAUUUCAAUGACUGUUCAUUGAGUUAGCCUAAAGUUUAAUACAGCCCUCAGUCAUUUAAUCAAACUAUUUGACAUAAACCACGCUGCUUUCAGAGAUGGUAUACAUCUGAUCUUAACGCUUAACUGUUGUUGCAACCAAGGAUUGCAACCUUUUUUGCUUAAUGUGGAGACCACCAGUGUUAUUUUAGCACUUGAGUGUUGGAGCAUGGUCCGUGCCUCAGCCUGUGUGCCAAAUAGCUAGGAUAAAAAAAAAAUCAGCUGCAUCCAAUAUAUUCCUGUCUCAGAGGUCCGUCAUGUAAUACAAUCCUACAAAUACUCCAUGCUUAGUAUUUGGCAUAGGAUUAAAGCGCAAGGCCAUUACUCUGCAUAAAACAACUGAACAGAUUAAUUGGCAUACAGGUUUAUGUCAGAAAUGCUGUCUGUCUGCCUAUUUUGGGUGAGGAAGACUUGAUCUAGAAGGAUCCCGAGCAGUACUAAGGGAUGCUAUGUGUCCUCAGGUGCCACUUGGAAUUAUUGGGAACUGGAUGCACUUGCAGAGAUCAGGCAGUGAGGGAGUGUAGCACAGAAGCACUGGGCAUGUUUGUGUGUCCUGCUAAACCAUGGUUUAGUGCUACAUGAGUACACUGGCCAGGGUUUGAAAUUAGCAGGGCGCCAGGCACAUUUUGCGCCUUAAGACUCUCCAUUUGCCAGCACCUCAAAAAGUCUGGGUGCCAUUUUUUGUGCCUGGCUGCCAUUCAAGCAUUACUGAAUUGAAUACGUGCUUUGAAGCCUCAAUGUGUAUGUUUAGACAAUAUGUUAAGGAGUUUAACAAUAAAGUGUAGUGUGUUUUGAAAACUGAAGUAUGGUACCAACGUUUUUAUUGUAAACACCAAAUUAAACAGGUAUUAACGAUUUCUGCUAAAUAAAGGUGAUAAUAACAAUGUGUCACUUAUGUGAAUUGCGUUCUAAUUCAUGCUCAUCAAAAUAAUAAAUAAAAAGUGUUGCUGACCGUCCCCUCCCCCAGUGGCAACUAGACAUUCUGUUUUGGCGCCCACAACCUAGGUCCCAGAAGCCACUUGGCUCCUAGCUUUUCUACCCCAGUUUCUAACACUGACGCUGUCUAUGUUUGCAUGCCAUGUUCCUCUUUUCCUUUUGUGUAGUUAGAAGCAGGUGUUGGAAAGCGUUCACUUUUAUUUUAACUUAACCGGUUUGGACCAUAGCAGUCAGGCUAUACCUGUCCUAGAAUGGGUGUAACUUGUGCAGCAGCAGUAGCUGGUAAAAGCCACUUUUGUGUCUGUAUUGGCAGUGGGGGAUCUAGGAGCACCCGCACCCAUACCCACCUGCUCAGAGACUCUGCACCUGCCCCUUCACAGAGAAUGCAGCCCUGUCCAGAUCAGGCCACUUCUGUAAUUGGUUGCCAGUUCUUCUUGGGGCCCAACAUUAUUGUUUAAACGACUUAGGCCCCAAAUAACUGAAAUAUAGGGACCCAGGUGGCACUGUGGGUUAAACCACAGAGUCUAGGGCUUGCUGAUCAGAAGGUUGGCGGUACGAAUCCCUGCAACGGGGUGAGCUCCCGUUGCUCGGUCCCAGCUCCUGCCAACCUAGCAGUUCGAAAGCAUGUCAAAGUGCAAGUAGAUAAAUAGGGACCGCUCCGGCGGGAAGGUAAACGGCGUUUCCAUCGCUGCUCUGGUUCGCCAGAAGCAGCUUUGUCAUGCUGGCCACAUGACCUGGAAGCUGUCUGCGGACAAACGCCGGCUCCCUCAGCCUAUAGAGCAAGAUGAGCGCCGCAACCCCAGAGUCGGACACGACUGGACCUGAUGGUCAGGGGGCCCUUUACCUUUACCUUUAACUGAAAUAUAGCCUCCUUCCUUAUUAGACCUUUCUCAACCCACCACAGCAUCCGGACACUGGUUCAGGACCUGCACAGCCCAUCCUGACUCAAAUACUACAGAUAAACAGAAAUCCAACUCAGUAUAUCAUUAAGAGUACAUGAAAGGGACAUACUGUACUGUGAACAAAGGAUAAGUUGGACGCUUAUGCGUGUGUUGCAUUUGAUUGAGCAAAGAGAUGUCCAAAGAGAGUAGGGAAAUGUGUCAUGUUGUUCCCUUAAAAGCAGGCUGUGGCAAUCCCUUUUGGCACACUCAUGUGAAAAUACAAUGCUGGGCAAUAAAAUACUUAAUAAAAUCUUUCCCUUUUUUUUAGGGGGUAGGGUUUCUAUCUUGAUGUUUGAAGAUGGCUUCCAAAGCGUGUAAAUUUUGAAUUUCUCUGCAUGCAGCAGUGAGCUGCAGAAUUUAUCUUAACCAAAACCAAAUGUACUAUACUGUACUUUCUUGAAACCUGAAGAUGUAUCCAGGUCUCCUUGAGACUUGAUGCAUUCUACAGGUGACAGUUACCUGGGGUCCUUUGCUGUAUGAGGCCUUUUGGAAUGUAUAGAAGCUGCACGAAACCCCAAAAUCUGUUUCAAGAACGCUUGUGCACGGAAAAUUCCAGGUUUAUUUUUUUUGCCCUGUAUUGUUUGGCACCUCCCAUCUAUAUGGUAUGUUCCUGCUCAUUUCUAAACACUUGGGAUAUCUUGAUGUUCUAAAGAUUAAGAGCAGAGCUGCUCCCAUUACACUAGCUAGUUUGAGCCAAAUGCAGGCUCUGGGAAUUAUAUGUAAAUGGAUUCAAAUCCAACAUUUUUAUAGCCAAUAAAAUUGGGGCCCUGCUAGUGCACCUUUCUGUGGGCCAAGAAAAUGGACCAGGAAGAGUAUAUAUAUAUAAAAAAGUCACACCCCAGAUAUACUCUUCAGAGUUUCACUUGCCCUUUCCUUCUCUCAGUUUAAGAAACUGUUUGCAAAACCUUGCAAAAAGAAUUUGCCAUUGACCCUGGUUCAGUGGUCCAUCUCAAGGUUAGUGUUAUCUGUCCAUGCCAUCCUCCCCACCCCCCACUGCCCAGUGCUACACUAAUGCCAGGUUGCUGCUGUGUCACUCACUCUCUCCCCUAUAUCCUAUGACAGGCAUAGGCAAACUCGGCCCUUCAGAUGUUUUGAGACUACAAUUCCCAUCAUCCCUGUUAGCUAGGGAUGAUGGGAGUUGUAGUCCCAAAACAUCUGGAGGGCCGAAUUCGCCUAUGCCUGUCCUAUGACUUGCCCACCAGAUCUAGUCACUCUCUCUGUUUGAAGAGGUAUAUAUCACAGCUUACUUCUGUCUUUUACACAUCAGGAAACGUUCUCUGAAAUGCAACAGAGUUCAGUCUUCAUCCACUGUUGCGGAUUUUCAUCUUGGUAUCUUUCAAUUGAGGGACCCAGGUGGCGCUGUGGUUAAACCACUGAGCCUAGGGCUUGCUGAUCAGAAGGUCGGCGGUUCGAAUCCCUGCAACGGGAUGAGCUCCCGUUGCUUGGUCCCAGCUCCUGCCAACCUAGCAGUUCGAAAGCACGUCAAAAUGCAAGUAGAUAAAUAGGUACCGCUACAGCGGGAAGGUAAACGGCGUUUCCAUGUGCUGCUCUGGUUCGCCAGAAGCGGCUUUGUCAUGCUGGCCACAUGACCUGGAAGCUAUACGCCGGCUCCCUCGGCCAAUAAUGCGAGAUGAGCGCGCAACCCCAGAGUCGGUCACGACUGGACCUAAUGGUCAGGGGUCCCUUUACCUUUACCUUAUCUUUCAAUUAGCUGGCAGUCAGAGGUACAAAGGUGGUCUGUGAACUGCUUUCAGGACUGCAGGUUUGAACUAUAUGGCAGUUCAUGUUUAGCAAAGUCAUUCUUAGCUUUGGAGCUCUGCUUUGAUGUAUAAUGCCAGCAUUAAAUUAGAUUGCCAAUGAGCUGUUCUGCCUUACAAGUAUGGCAGUAUGGAGACAUUUUGGGGUACUUGUUUUUGGAACAGACUUGGAGUAAUUUGCAAUCUAAUCAUCUGAAUGUGACCCACGCGUGGCUCAAUAAACUGAUGCAAACCUAUGUGGUUGAUGGGCUGUUUUUGGCUUCGUGGUCCAUACAUUUGUUCUGACCUGGUUUUGUAAUAGGAUCUGAAUGUGCAGUACAUUAUACCAGGUCUCAGGCAGCGGAUACAGAGCUAGGAAUUUAUUAAUAAGGAUAAAUUGCUCUUUUGAGGGGAUUUUCAAAAGAUAUGAAGCAAAAUUCUCUCCUCGGGGCAUCAAGCUGUGGAGAAGAUCCCAUCUUACAAAGAAAAGGCACUUUGCCUUUUGCUUGCUUUUAGAACUGCUGAUUCCAGUAGUAAAUUGAUACCCAAAGCUAACACAGUUCUGUCAUCUUAUCUGCCAUUGUUAUUGACACAGCAGUACCAUGUUGCAUAGAAGAGCCAUGAGGGAAAUUAAAACAAACAUUCAUCUCUCUUGUAGCGUAGGAUGGAAUGGGGGGUUGGGAAACACCCUCUCCCUUCUGAAGGUCGCCUUGGAAAUGUUUCACCAAAACUCUCCUGGCUUUCCCUCUGCUCUGUGAAUUUGCCCUUGUCUUGCCCUGUGCCUUAAUACACUGCUGUGCUUGCAUGGGGGUGCCAAUUGGUGAGAAGGUCUGGUGUCUGCAUGGCUGAGCAAACGUGGAAUCUACACCCUUUAGUGGAGGGGGGGCGUGUUUGCUGAAGUGGUGUUUGCAAGGUGCCCAGAAAUCUCUACCAAGCUGAGUGCAUUUUCACAAAAAGAAUUAAUUAUGCAAAAGUGCAUGCCAAGAACAACAUGGUUUUGGAAUUUAUGAGUCAUUAGCAAAGCAUAAUGACCAAAGCUUGAACUUAGUGUGCCACGGAGAGGGCAUUUAAAACAAUUAGGCAUUUAAACUCUGAGUCGUUAAUGGCAGCAGGCAGAAGCAGAAUCUGUAGAGGUUUUUUUUUUUUUUGUCAAUACUGCUUUUGGAUAAAAAGCAAUUUCGUCUACUUUCGCCAGACUGAACUUUGUAUGUGUUAUGUGAAUCAUGCAAAACACAACACUAGUUCUGGUGGAAUUUUCAUGCACAAGAGCGAUGAUUUCAUCCCCAAUAUAUUUGCUUGCAAGUCAGGCACUGCCCGUCAAAGGCAAAUGAACAUCAAGUCCAGUCAACAACAGACCCUGUGGCAUUCUUCAGCUAAAAGACAUGAGACAGUUAGAAGACUGAUGCCACCAUGUUUCUAGCUCUCAUGCCAUUGGUCCAUGGUCUGGUCCACUGUCACAGAUUGCUUUGUGUUAUUGAUGGAAUUGGCUAUGCUUUCUGCUGGGCAGAGUGCACUCAGAACUCCAGCAGCAGAAGCCCUCCUAAGUCAGAAAAAGGCAGAGCCUGCCUUCCACUCAUUGGCAGCUGUUUGCAUUUGUGCACAUGGAUCACAUGCCUAGUGCUCAUGAACAUAAGCAAGGAGGCCAUGUAUUCAUCUUCAGGUCUUGAAUUUUACUGGAUGGGAUGAUGUUGGAAUUAAUUAAGUGGUAACCACUUUUUUUUUUAAAAAAAGGAAGUGUCGAAAGAUAUUGAGUCCAAAGUGUAUAUAUUUACAUUCCACAUUUCUUCUGUCAUGGAAAUCCAGGGAGGUGUGCUGAGGGUUCCCAGGCCGUCCCUAUCUACGCUCUUGCCAGAUUCAGACUUGUUCAGUGUCAGCAAAGCUGUUGGUGUUACCAUGUGCCUUCAGGUCAUACCUGGGGCAAGCAUGAAUUAUGCCACUUCAGUCCACCAGAACUGAUUUUCUCAUUGAGGCUCUGACGUACUUACAGGUGAACCCAGGAUUCCCCAGAACACAGUUCGCAGUCUUACCACCCCAUAGCAAUUUCAGCAGGUGGUCUCUGGGUUAUUUAUUUCUCAAAAUUUAUAUACCACUUGAUAGUUGUUGUUUUUUUAAAAAACCCUUAUGAACCAGCAAACUUAAUCCCUACUUUUCCUUGAGCCAAGGGAUAUACAGUACUUUGUGGAGCUUUUCUUUUUCCUUUGAAAACUGAGGUCCACCCAGUAGUGUCAUGAGUACAGUACAGGGCAGAGCCAGAUUCAAAAUGGUGCUGAGGAAAUGGUGCCAAAUACCUACAGCACCUCAUGAGUCAUGCACUGGGAUGACGUACCUCUACAAGCACAAAUCUACAUCUGGGUUACUGUAGGUCACCUAAUUUAGGGGCCAGGGAAGCCUUUUUGUGUUGCUGCUGUUAAACCAGAGUCUAGAAACCCUUGCAGAUCUACCGCAUGAGGCAUCACGAUCUUGUGCAGGAGUUGCCAUCCUUUUGGGGCUCGAGGGCACAUCUGCAAACUGAAGAAACUGUUGUGGGCAGCACAGUUGAGUAUACCCCACUCUUAUUUUAUUAUUUUAAGAAGCCUCGCCAGAUUACAUGCUCAUUGUGUUGUGACUAUGUGUUAAGGCAGGCACCCCCAAUCUCCGGCCCUCCAGAUGUUUUGGACUACAAUUCCCAUAUUCCCUGACCACUGGUCCUGCUAGCUAGGGAUCAUGGGAGUUGUAGGCCAAAACAUCUGGAGGGCCGCAGUUUGGGGAUGCCUGUGUUAAGGUUAAAAGGCUGUGGGAUUUUAUUAUCUAAAUCAGACUUUUAGGUCUCUCUUGUUCCCCCUCCUGCCACUCUCCCCAAAAGCCUCCAAAAUAGUUUGUCUCUUUGGAUCAUUAUUUGCAAAGGAAAAGAUAGAAAAGGCUACUGCAAUGUUACCAUAGUUUCAGUGCAGGAUGUGGUUUCUAUGGUUACAAGUCACAAUGACAUAGACAGUGGAGAACUACCUCUUUUGGGUGAAUUUUAAAAUCUCAAUCUACUUUUUUUUCUACAAACAAACAAAACAGCAACACUAUAAUGUCCUGUUUGGAUAAUGACGGUAUUUUUUGUUUGGUCUCAAUACUUUCUCCUGGGAGUACUUUAAUCUGAAAAUGAGUCUUGUCAGAUUAAGUGGAGGUUGUCCAUGAGUUCAGCUGUCCCUUGAUCAGAUGUGAAACUGCUAGGGCAAAUUGCCACAGAUAUUUGCUCCAAGAAAAUCAGAAGUAAUUAUCUGGCUCUGUGAAAAUGUCCUUUGUGCUGCAACGAGACACAGAGUUAUGUAAACAGACAGACAGACAGACAGACAGACACAAGAGCUGACCAGCAUGUUCAGGAUCUUGUGUUGUGGACCUUUUCAGAUUAUUGCCACUUCAGAAGUGGGAGUCUGUCAUGGAAGGGGUGUGUGUGUGUGUGUGUGUGUGUGUGUGUGUGUGUGUGUGUGUGUAUGUUCUGUGCCUAGAGAGGGUGUUUUGUUUGUUUAAUGAUGGGGGGGGGACGACUCCCAACUUUUCACCAAUCAGCAUGGUUAUAAGUAAAAAUAGAGCAAGAACUUAUAAGAAGGUGUGCCAAAAGUGGCAUGGGAGUUUUAUUCAAGAAAUAAACUUUUUGGCUACAAACUAUAUGUAGAAUUGCAUUUAAAUGACAAUUAUUAUUAUAUUAUAAUGCAGAUGGUAUUGUACACCUACGGAGAGUAAGAGGACUGGGAAAGCAACAGAAUAAAUGUUCCUUCUGCUAAGAAAUAAAGGAAGAUGGUCUUCAUAUUUGGUGGCAAUGCUAGAAGACCAAAAGUUUUUGGUUAAUGGUUAGAGCCACAAUUUAAAGAACUCUUCCCGGUUAAUGUAAUUGCCAAUCAAUUGCAGCCCUUUUAAAAUUUUGUGCAAGGUACAGAAGUUCUUAAGAAGAUUCAGAUCCCAGUGUUGUUAACCCUAGCUAGAAUAUUAUAUACCAGGACUAGGAAGCAAAGUUGGUCCACCAAGUUAACAGGAAUUAAUCUGGAAAUCAUGAGAGCAGUCGGGAGUGAUUAAGCUAAAACCUCCAAUGAAGUAUUAAACAAAUGGAACCCGGUUAAGAAUACGGUAUGUUAAGAAAGAACAGGGAAUAGGAGGAAUUGUUGUUGUUAUAAGGGAUGCCUUGUAAACAUUUAAGUUACAUGUUCAAUGUGUCAAUGUGUAUUGAAUUCGGUAUCUUUUGGAUGAUGCACAAAGUUUUUAAAGGUUGUUUUUGUAAAUUGGUGGAAGCAUUACAAGCAUUUGUUUAAAAUACAUAUACUGUAUAAAAUAAAAGGAGAUGCCUGGUUCAAUCUCUGGUAUUUCUAGGUAGGGCUGGUAGAAAACUUCUGAAAUCUUGGAGUGUCUUCUAAUCAGUGUAGGCAAUACUAAGCUGGAUGAACCCAUGGUAAUGGUAAUGGUAAAGGACCCCUGGAUGGUUAAGUCCAAUCAAAGGUGACUGAGGUUGUAGUGCUUAUCUUGCUUUUCAGGCCGAGGGAGCCAGUAUUUGUCCACAGACAGCUUUCCAGAUCAUGUGGCUGGCAUGACUAAACCACUUCUGGCACAAUGGGACACUGUGACGAGUGCCACAGUGCAUGGAAAUGCCGUUUACCUUUCCACCACAGUGCUAGCUAUUUAUCUACUUGAACUUUUUGGUGUGCUUUCAAAACUGCUAGGUUGGCAGGAGCAGGGACCGAACAAUGGGAGCUCACCCUGUUGUGGGGAUUCAAACCGCCAAACUUCCAAUCGGCGAGCCCAAGAGGCUCAGUGGUUUAGACCACUGACUCAAUACAAGGCAGCUUCCUACAUUUCUAGUUUCCAGAGCACUCUAGAUUGGAUUACUGUAAUGUGCGCUGUGGGGGGUUGCAGUUAGUGGAAAAUGCUAAACAGGAGUAACAGUCACUCUUGGUGCAAAAACUGCUAAUUUUUGCUGGGGUUAAGUUUCCUAAACAGGCAUAAAGUUUGAGAAUGUUAGUACAGUAUUGGGUACAGUAUUUGAAGGUGGGAGAAGUGUGGUGAACUGGAUUCAUGUUGUCACCAAGAUCCUCAGGUGGCAACCAGCAAUUUCCACGAAUUUCUGCUUUUGAAUGGGAAACAUGACACAUAAUUGUGAUUUAGAUUGGUGAUGUUCUGUUUCUUACAGAACCGGGAAUAUGGUGUGCAGCUAAGCCAAUUGUGCAUGUAAUAUGGAGCAGUGAUUUGGAUCGGCACUGCUGGCUGUGCUUUUGAACAAGGAACACAGUGUGCAAUUACGCCAAUUAUGCAUGCGGUGUGCAACAGUUUUUCAGAUCCGUGUUGCUUGUCUGUGCCUUGGAAAGAGGGAACGUGAUGCACAGCUGAGUGAUAGUGAUUUCGAUCUGUACUGCUGGUUUUGCUUUCAAAUGUGGAACAUCAUGAAGUGUGAAUCAAAUUGCAGCAGGUCCUUUGUGCCCCCCAAUACAUUCCGACCUGUGCAUGUGAAUUAGGCCUCAGAACAUGUACAGGGAUUAUGCAGCAAUUUACUUACUUACUUACUCAUUCAUUCACUCACUCAUUCAUAAAAUAAAAAAAAUCCUUCCAGUAACACCUUAGAGACCAACUAAGUUUGCUAUCGGUAUGAGCUUUCGUGUGCAUGCACACUUCUUCAGAUACACUGAAACAGAAGUCACCAGACCCUUAUAUAUAGUGAGAGGGUAGGGAGGGGUAUUACUCAGAAGGGUGGUGGGAAUGGGUGAUUGGCUGAUAGGUGUGAUAAUCCUGCUGACGACUGCAAUUGGUUUUACAGGAAAAAGCAAGGGGUGAGAUGGCUAAAAGUAGCUUUAUAAUGUGUAAUGAGAUAAGAAUCCAAUGUCUCUAUUUAGACCAGGUCUCUCCAUGGUUUUAAGUUUGGUAAUAAGUUGCAAUUCAGCAACUUCUCUUUCCAGUCUAUUUCUGAAAUUCUUUUGUAAUAAGACUUUGAGAUCUUGUAUAGAAUGUCCUGGGAGAUUGAAGUGUUCUCCUACUGGUUUCUCUGUCUUGUGGUUCCUGAUGUCAGAUUUAUGUCCAUUUAUCCUAGUGUUUGGCCUGUUUGUCCAAUAUAGAGAGCUGAAGGGCACUGUUGGCAUUUGAUGGCAUACACAAUGUUAGAAGAUGAGCAAUUAAAUAGUCCUGUUGCUGUUGUUGGGGCCAGUAGUGGUAUUGUCCGGGUGUAUGUGGCAGCAAAGUCGGCAUCUGGGUUUAUUGCAGGCUCUGGUACCAGUGUCCAUGUUAAGUCUGGUGGUUGUAUUAUUGUGGGUGAUGAGUUGUUCAAUAUUGGGUGGCUGCCUGUAGGCAAUGAAAGGUCUUCCUCUCAGAGCUUGAGAAAGAGAGCCGUCAUUGUCUAGGAGAUGUUGUAGAUCUCUGAU